rnacentral:rRNA from 1 species
UACAGAGGUCCCAAGCGUUGUUCGGAUUCACUGGGCGUAAAGGGUGCGUAGGCGGUUGGGUAAGUCUGAUGUGAAAUCUCACAGCUUAACUGUGAAACUGCAUUGGAUACUAUUCGGCUAGAGGAAUGGAGGGGGAGACUGGAAUACUUGGUGUAGCAGUGAAAUGCGUAGAUAUCAAGUGGAACACCAGUGGCGAAGGCGAGUCUCUGGACAUUUCCUGACGCUGAGGCACGAAAGCCAGGGGAGCAAACGGG